AGAAGUUUCUAGAAGCCUCUCUUCAAGAAAGGGUAGCCCUUCUCUGAAACACUAGGGUUUAUGCAAGGUUUUUGAAUCAAUCCCAAUUUUAUUUUCACCUCUGCGCACUCACUCAAAUUAAGAGGUUUUUCUUUUUCAUUAUUCAUCAUGCAUCGAUUACUGAGAAAGGUUUCGAUCUCAUUCUGUCCUCAAAAUCUCAUCCGAGCAGUGGCCAUGGCCACUGCCGGGUCUGGUCUUUUGUAUGCCUGUAGCAAUUCGGACUGUGGAGCAAGAAUAUCGCUGUCAUUUCCUGUGAUAUGGAAUGGAUCACCGUCUUUACAAUUUUUGCAAGGCUUUCGGGAACCUUCUCUGUUUACGUCAUCAGAAAAAUGGAAACUUGGGAAGCUCGAAUUUUUUUCAAGAGUCAGUUCAGCUCCUGCUGGAGAUGUAAAUUCCAGGGUCAGUCCAGCUUCCUCUGGAAAUAUUAAUGCUAAAGUCAGUCCAGCUCCUUCUGAAGCUGUGAAGAAACAGGAUGAUCCUGGUUCUGUUGUGGUCAAAGAUGAGGCAGAGCCACAUUGCAGAUGUUUAGGUAGAAAUACUAUUGCCAAUGCAGCUGCUAAAGUUGGUCCUGCUGUUGUCAAUAUAGCAGUUCCACAGGGUUUCCAUGGAAUUACUCUGGGAAAGAGUAUAGGCUCUGGAACAAUUAUAGAUGAAGAUGGUACUAUUUUGACAUGUGCUCAUGUUGUGGUUGAUUUUCAAGGCAUUCGUCGCGAAUCUAAAGGGAAGGUAGAUGUAACUCUGCAAGAUGGUCGGACAUUUGAGGGUACAGUGCUGAAUGCUGAUUUACAUUCUGAUAUUGCUAUUGUAAAGAUUAACUCUAAAACUCCUCUUCCAACUGCAAAACUUGGUUCUUCUAGUAAGCUUCGGCCUGGAGACUGGGUUUUGGCUGUGGGCUGCCCACUUUCUCUUCAAAACACUGUAACAGCUGGUAUUGUAAGUUGUGUUGAUCGUAAAAGCAGUGAUUUGGGUCUUGGUGGAAUGCGGAGAGAGUAUUUGCAAACAGAUUGCGCAAUCAAUGCGGGAAAUUCUGGAGGACCCCUGGUAAAUAUUGAUGGAGAAAUUGUUGGUGUCAAUAUUAUGAAAGUACAGGCUGCAGACGGAUUGAGCUUUGCUGUACCAGUGGAUGCGGUUGCCAAAAUUAUUGAGCAUUUCAAGAAGAGAGGGAGAGUUGUUCGACCUUGGCUUGGAUUGAAAAUGCUUGAUCUUAACAAGAUGAUUGUUGCUCAGCUUAAAGAAAGAGAUCCCUCAUUCCCUAAUGUCCAAAGGGGUGUUCUUGUACCUAUGGUGACACCUGGAUCUCCCGCUGACCGUGCUGGAUUCCAUCCUGGUGAUGUUGUUAUCAAAUUUGACGGGAAGCCUGUCGAAAGCAUCAAGGAGAUUAUAGAAAUAAUGGGAGAUCGGGUUGGGAUGCCUAUGAAGGUAGUUGUGCAAAGAGCAAAUGAUAAUGUGGUGAUUCUGACUGUAACUCCUGAGGAAGCUAAUCCAGAUAUGUGAAUAUUCAAACAAACGGAGCGGUAACGUUGCAUCAUAGAGUUUACGUGAAAACGGUUUUUACGCAUGAGACCUCCCAACGCUCCUGCUUCUAUUCGUAGCCCCACUUUAACCGCCAUUCCCCACCCGUCACUGCCACCUCCUGUAUGUUGCGGCUGCGCGACCGGCCUCCUGUGAUCAUUUCCAUAUGCUGAUAUUCCACUACGGCCAAGACCCAAUGGCAGGUAAUUACACCCACUUGCGGGUGUUUGCGGUGGAGUCAGAGAUUGUGGAGUUCCUCCACACCCUGGCAGUAGAGGUGGUGGCAAAGCUUGUGGGAAUCUUGCCAGUGGUGGGUUCGAUGAGUAAGGGGUGGAAUGGGUGAAAAACUUUGUGAAGGUGUAUAUUCGCCUUUAUCUGACAGCAGAUACCCCCCCUUUUAACGGCGGAGGGUGUAGAAAAUUAAACCAUGCAUGAUGAUCCGGAGGUGAAAACUUGAAAGAAACAUUUAAAACUCCCUUAGCCCGACCGCCAGGAGUUGUGAUAUUGUAAGAAAUAUUAUUCUUUUUGUCUGACCUAUUAUUACUCUAAUUCAACAUUUCUUGAAUAGAAAUAUUAACUCCUCUGAGGUCGCAGUCGCGGAAACAGCAGCGACUGACUCCGACACUGUAAUUAAUAUGAAGAUUACUUUGUGACAA